rnacentral:rRNA from 1 species
AGUGAACGCUGGCGGUAGGCCUAACACAUGCAAGUCGAACGGCAGCACAGUAAGAGCUUGCUCUUACGGGUGGCGAGUGGCGGACGGGUGAGGAAUACAUCGGAAUCUACUUUUUCGUGGGGGAUAACGUAGGGAAACUUACGCUAAUACCGCAUACGACCUACGGGUGAAAGCAGGGGAUCUUCGGACCUUGCGCGAUUGAAUGAGCCGAUGUCGGAUUAGCUAGUUGGCGGGGUAAAGGCCCACCAAGGCGACGAUCCGUAGCUGGUCUGAGAGGAUGAGCAGCCACACUGGAACUGAGACACGGUCCAGGCUCCUACGGGAGGCAGCAGUGGGGAAUAGUGGACAAUGGGCGCAAGCGUGAUCCAGCCAUACCGCGUGGGUGAAGAAGGCAUUCGGGUUGUAAAGCCGUUUUGUUGGGAAAGAAAAGCAGCGGGUUAAUACCCCGCUGUUCUGACGGUACCCAAAGAAUAAGCACCGGCUAACUUCGUG